UGCGUAGGGUGCAAGCGUUGUCCGGAAUUAUUGGGCGUAAAGAGCUCGUAGGCGGUCUGUCGCGUCUGCUGUGAAAACCUAGGGCUUAACUCUGGGCGUGCAGUGGGUACGGGCAGGCUAGAGUGCGGUAGGGGAGACUGGAAUUCCUGGUGUAGCGGUGAAAUGCGCAGAUAUCAGGAGGAACACCGGUGGCGAAGGCGGGUCGCUGGGCCGUAACUGACGCUGAGGAGCGAAAGCAUGGGGAGCGAACAGG
rnacentral:rRNA from 1 species